rnacentral:rRNA from 1 species
AACGAACGCUGGCGGCAUGCCUAACACAUGCAAGUCGAACGGGAUCCUGGUUUCGGCCAGGUGAGAGUGGCGGACGGGUGAGUAACGCGUGGGAACCUGCCCAGUGGUGGGGGAUAACUGCGGGAAACUGCAGCUAAUACCGCAUGAGCCCGCAAGGGGAAAGAUUGAUCGCCAUUGGAGGGGCCCGCGUUCGAUUAGGUAGUUGGUGAGGUAACGGCUCACCAAGCCUACGANCGAUAGCUGGUCUGAGAGGAUGAUCAGCCACACUGGGACUGAGAUACGGCCCAGACUCCUACGGGAGGCAGCAGUGGGGAAUAUUGGACAAUGGGGGCGAACCCUGAUCCAGCAAUGCCGCGUGAGUGAUGAAGGCCU